UACGGAGGGUGCAAGCGUUGUUCGGAAUUACUGGGCGUAAAGGGCGCGUAGGCGGUAAUAUAAGUCAAAUGUGAAAUCCUCCAGCUUAACUGGAGAACAGCAUCUGAAACUGUGUAACUAGAGUACAGGAGAGGGAAACGGAAUUCCCGGUGUAGAGGUGAAAUUCGUAGAUAUCGGGAGGAACACCAGUGGCGAAGGCGGUUUCCUGGCCUGAUACUGACGCUGAGGCGCGAAAGCGUGGGGAGCAAACAGGAUUAGAAACCCUAGUAGUCC
rnacentral:rRNA from 1 species